rnacentral:rRNA from 1 species
CCUACGGGUGGCAGCAGUGGGGAAUAUUGGGCAAUGGGCGCAAGCCUGACCCAGCAACGCCGCGUGAAGGAAGAAGGCUUUCGGGUUGUAAACUUCUUUUAAGAGGGAAGAGCAGAAGACGGUACCUCUUGAAUAAGCCACGGCUAACUACGUGCCAGCAGCCGCGGUAAUACGUAGGUGGCAAGCGUUGUCCGGAUUUACUGGGUGUAAAGGGCGUGCAGCCGGGAAGACAAGUCAGAUGUGAAAUCCCGCGGCUCAACCGCGGAACUGCAUUUGAAACUGUUUUUCUUGAGUACCGGAGAGGUCAUCGGAAUUCCUUGUGUAGCGGUGAAAUGCAUAGAUAUCACACAGAACACCGAUUGCGAAGGCAUCUCACGAAUCCGCGAUUGACGCUGAUGCACGAAAGCGUGGGUAUCAAACAGGAUUAGAUACCCCAGUAGUC